UUCUGCGGAACAUUAGUCUAUUUGAAACUAUACAGAGAAGAUUAGCAUGGCCCCUGCACUAAGGAUGGUGAGUUCGAUCCCCAGCAUGCUCAAAACUUC
rnacentral:snRNA from 1 species